GACGAACGCUGGCGGCGUGCCUAAUACAUGCAAGUAGAACGCUGAAGGAGGAGCUUGCUUCUCUGGAUGAGUUGCGAACGGGUGAGUAACGCGUAGGUAACCUGCCUGGUAGCGGGGGAUAACUAUUGGAAACGAUAGCUAAUACCGCAUAAGAGUAGAUGUCGCAUGACAUUUGCUUAAAAGGUGCAAUUGCAUCACUACCAGAUGGACCUGCGUUGUAUUAGCUAGUUGGUGAGGUAACGGCUCACCAAGGCAACGAUACAUAGCCGACCUGAGAGGGUGAUCGGCCACACUGGGACUGAGACACGGCCCAGACUCCUACGGGAGGCAGCAGUAGGGAAUCUUCGGCAAUGGACGGAAGUCUGACCGAGCAACGCCACGUGAGUGAAGAAGGUUUUCGGAUCGUAAAGCUCUGUUGUAAGAGAAGAACGAGUGUGAGAGUGGAAAGUUCACACUGUGACGGUAUCUUACCAGAAAGGGACGGCUAACUACGUG
rnacentral:rRNA from 1 species